GGGUCACCUGUCCUGGCUGUGUCUCCUCCCAGCCUCACGGGCACCCCCAGUCUCCUCACCAGCGUGGCAGUACAAAAAGCAGAAAAGGCCUUGGCUCUGUGUGAGCCCUGCUCAGCAAUAACAAAAACAUCCCUCUGUUAUCAACCCUGUGUUUCGCACAAGUCCAAAACACAGCCCCAUACCAGCCACUGCGAAGAAAACUAACUCUACCUCAGCCAAAAUCAGCACAGGCAGUUCAUAUAUCCC